rnacentral:ncRNA from 2 species
AGCCAGCAUCAAGAGCCGGUAUCGUUUCACCGGCGCCAACCUGCUCCCGGGCAAGGUGGUAUCUCCGGGCAACCGGAGAGAUGUGGCCGCUCCGGCAAUCUCGGGACACGCC